UACUCAUUCAAAAAUAUUGUGUUGAGUUCCAACUAUCUAUCAGGCACUGAACUAGGUGCCGAAGAUAGAAAUGAGUCUCUCUCCUCAGCAGGAUCAGACUGGUCAAAAAGAUCCCUCAGGAUGUCAGGUAAUCACAGAAAUUCACUACUACCCACAUUGCCUCCGUGACCAGAUUAAUAGGGGUAAAACUCUAAUGUGAGCCACCAAGAGGAGGUGUGGUAUCAUGAACUCAAUGUAAAAUUCCAGUUGAAGGUAAAAAGGCACGUGUGAGAACGUUCUGUGGAGCUCACUGCAUGAGAAGAGUUUGUGAUGAUCAUAGUUCCUUAGGCUCUGUGAUUGCGCAAGAGCCCGUCACUAACGUCUCCGCUCCGGCUCAUUAUUUUAAAAACUCCUCCUCUCGUUAGCGCUGAAAGGAACAGGAGUUUUCCAACAAGUUUCAUAGAAGACCUGCCGGUGAUCACUGGCCCACCUACUUUAAUGAACCUGAACUUCUGAAGCGAAAUGAAUUUUAAGUACUGUGUCUUGAACUCAUUUCAAAAGCGAGUAUGCAAAUAUUGCAGCAAGUCCUCCAGUUGUGACACGAAGAAAGGCAAGGGUGUCCGUCGCCUGUACCUGUGCGCCACUUGACUGCAGUUCACUGUUGUAGCUGUCUCACUAAGGAGGAAGCACGGUGUCCUCAGGGCACCCGGGGCUGGAGGAGAAAAUCCUUCCAGAACAUCCUAGAGGCCUGGAUGAAGUGAACAAAAAUUUCACGGCUGUUUGCAUCCACAAUGCGCUGUCCUGUUUGCUUUAUUUUUCUCACUUCUUCCUAGUCAAAGUUGGUACAGUAAGACAAACCCACUGCCUACAUGACUUUUUUGUAACAUGCAAACCAACUCCAAGCCAUAAACUUCUGCUUUUCAUCUUGUACUAUAUUCAAUAAAUUUAUAAACAUCAAUAGAUAUUACUCAACUUUUUUUCUGGUUUUA